rnacentral:rRNA from 1 species
UACAGAGGGUGCUAGCGUUGUUCGGAAUCAUUGGGCGUAAAGGGCGUGUAGGCGGUUUGUUAAGUCAUGUGUGAAAUCCCUCGGCUCAACCGAGGAAAGACGCAUGAAACUGGCAAGCUAGAGUACCGAAGAGGGGGGUGGAAUUCCCGGUGUAGCGGUGAAAUGCGCAGAUAUCGGGAGGAACACCUAUGGCGAAGGCAGCUCGCUGGGACGUUACUGACGCUGAGACGCGAAAGCGUGGGGAGCAAACAGG